rnacentral:rRNA from 1 species
CCUACGGGUGGCAGCAGUGAGGAAUAUUGGUCAAUGGCCGGAAGGCUGAACCAGCCAUGCCGCGUGCAGGUCAGUGCCCUAUGGGCUUUUAACUUCUUUUUUUCGGGGGCAAUAAUGGGCACGGUUGGCCAGACUAGAGUACCGUACGAAUAAGCAUCGGCUAAAUCCGUUCCAGCAGCCGCGGGAAUACGGGGGAUGCAAGCGUUAUCCGGAUUUAUUGGGUUUAAAGGGUGCGUAGGUUGUGAGGUAAGUCAGCGGUGAAAUGCCCCCGGUCAACGGGUGGAAGUGCCGGGGAUACUGCCUUGCUGGAAUGCGGAUGACGUGGGAGGAAUGCGUGGUGUAGCGGUGAAAUGCAUAGAUAUCACACAGAACACCGAUUGCGAAGGCAUCUCACGAAUCCGCGAUUGACGCUGAUGCACGAAAGCGUGGGUAUCAAACAGGAUUAGAUACCCGAGUAGUC